rnacentral:rRNA from 1 species
GGCUCAGUUCAGAUCGUAGGCUGCAACUCGCCUACGUGAAGGAGGAAUCGCUAGUAAUCGCAGGUCAGCAUACUGCGGUGAAUACGUUCCCGGGCCUUGUACACACCGCCCGUCACACCAUGGAAGUUGGCCACGCCCGAAGCCGUUACUCCAACCCUUGUGGAGGAGGACGUCGAAGGUGGGGCUGAUGACUGGGGUGAAGUCGUAACAAGGUAGCCGUACCGGAAGGUGCGGCUGGAUCACCUCCUAA